rnacentral:rRNA from 1 species
GACGUAGGGUGCAAGCGUUGUCCGGAAUUAUUGGGCGUAAAGAGCUCGUAGGCGGUUUGUUGCGUCGGCUGUGAAAUCCCGAGGCUCAACCUCGGGUCUGCAGUCGAUACGAGCAAACUAGAGUGUUGCAGGGGAGACUGGAAUUCCUGGUGUAGCGGUGAAAUGCGCAGAUAUCAGGAGGAACACCGGUGGCGAAGGCGGAUCUCUGGGCCGUAACUGACGCUGAGGAGCGAAAGCAUGGGGAGCGAACAGG